CAAGAAAUUUGUCCACUUUGAACAUAAUCUUACACUUCUGUUACCGAGUUCAAAUCUUAAUUUUUUCUCCUAAAUACUACUUACUGAACCAGUUAGCUUGAUAAGCUAAUUCUAAUAAAAUACUGUGAAACCUUACACAAUGAACAUUUAAAAUGAGAGGUACAGUCUAAAAUAUGGCAAACCAACUGAAAAAAA